rnacentral:SRP_RNA from 15 species
AGAGCUGGCCUGGCUCAUGCACGAAGGCGAGCGCCCGCUCUGGCACCGAAACUGGCGGCUUCGCAGGCAGCGGGUCUUGCGUGAAGCUGGGUUCACGCAGC